GCUGAGGUAGUGUAGAGGUUAGCACGUAGGAUUUUGAUCAAUACUGGAUUAUUAUUAAAAUUCCUGAAUCCCCGGUUCGAACCCGGGCCCCAGCU